CCUACGGGAGGCAGCAGUAGGGAAUCUUCCACAAUGGGCGAAAGCCUGAUGGAGCAACGCCGCGUGGGUGAAGAAGGUCUUCGGAUCGUAAAACCCUGUUGUUAGAGAAGAAAGUGCGUGAGAGUAACUGUUCACGUUUCGACGGUAUCUAACCAGAAAGCCACGGCUAACUACGUGCCAGCAGCCGCGGUAAUACGUAGGUGGCAAGCGUUAUCCGGAUUUAUGGGGGGUAAAGGGAAGGCAGGCGGACUGUUAAGUCUGAUGGGAAAGCCUUCGGCUUAACCGGAGUAGUGCAUUGGAAACUGUGAGACUUGAGUUCAGAAGAGGAGAGUCGAACUCCAUGUGUAGCGGUGCAAUGCGUAGAUAUCUGGAAGAACACCAGUGGCGAACGCGGCUCUCUGGUCUGUAACUGACGCUGAGGUUCGAAAGCGUGGGUAGCAAACAGGAUUAGAUACCCGGGUAGUC
rnacentral:rRNA from 1 species